CAGCAGGUAACCUUGGUCGUCCCACCCACAAGAGUGCCUAUGCAACAACACAUUGACCAAGAGAAUAAGUGCCACUGGAAGACUUCUCUGCUCUCCUGCGUCCUUCCCUCACUCAGCUGAAAAAUGGAACAGCCCAAAUUUUAUUGAAUUUGGCAACAGCACGAAAUCGUCCUGGACUUCAUUCUAAAAGAAACUUCUUUCUACUGGUCUUUGCGUAUGUUUUGUAGUAUUUUUACGGCUUAGAUGAAUUCCUCAUCAUCUUCCUCAAGGCAUGAGACUGACUGUUACUAUGAGCAUAUUUUCUCAAGUAGCAAUUUUACUUUUUGGAAUACUUAGGUGUGAAUUUCAG